CUAUUCGCUCUGUUUACAUUUUUGCUUCUACUUUUUAGUUUUUUCGUGUUUUUAUUUGCGGCCGGUUGUGUUUUUGUUUGUAAAAUUUGGUUUUGUUAAAAUUUUAUAGUAAAAGUUGUGUGAUUUUAAUAAUUCUUAUAUCAAUAUGUUCAGCAAGAGUUAUAUUUUGUGAAAUUAAUAAAAGUUUUAGCAAAAUUUAGUGUUUAUUUGUUAAAAAUGAAGAAGUAUAAGGCAGCGGCAGCCAAAUUGCCAAAAAAAUGCAAUAGAUCACCAAUAAUUUUAUUACUUGUUGUUGUCAAUAACAAAAAAGUGUUAAACGUGAAAGUGUGAAAUGAAAAUAAAUAAUAAAUUUUUAUAAAAGAAAAAGAAACAGAGUUCUAAUAAGGAAAAAAUAUAAAAUGCAUUAAUAAUUGCAUUGUCAUUUGUUUACUUUUUUUUGCCAAAUGAAGUUGCUGGUGUUUUUAGGGUUACCAGGUAGGAGAACGUGCCAUUUAGCACUUAACAUGGAAAGAAAACAAACAGCAAUGAAAACGUUUCAAUGAAUGAAUGAAAAACUUAAAUGAACCAAAGAACUUAACAGAGAAAGAAGAAUGGCUGAAUAACGAAAUGGUUGAAUAAAAGACUGAAUUGUUUUGUUCGUAUGAGCAAAUGAAUUGUUCCAUUAUGAACGGACCAGAUGAAUACAAUUUGCAUACAUACAUACAUAUGUGGAUGUACUCUUAAGUAGUUAAUUCAAGAAAAACAAUUUCCAUUAAAAUCUGCAUAACUUAAAGUUGACACCAUGGGGAGCAUUGUGCAUAUGUACAUAUCCAUAUGAAUCUCUGCUGAAAAAAUGCUUGCGGGGUUUAAAGAUGUUGCAAAAGACUACAAGAUAUUAAUAAAUGAAUAGCAGAUUUUCCUUUCAACACUUUUAAAACGUUACGAUUUUAAUUAAUAAACUUAACGCGUCGCACGUUCGAGAUGAACUGAAUUUAAAUUCUAACAUGGCUGUACAAGAUAGACCAUGAAUAUUACAACAACAGCUACAAAAAAAGUAUCUUCCGAAAAUGGUACACGCUGCAUAAGUAAAGCAUAAGAGGCCCGCUCUAUCAUAAAUAAUGGAACCCUUCACUGGAAUUCUAUAUGAGUCACCAACUAAUUAGUUAGGAAGUACAUACCAACUAUAAUUCUCCAAAGAAAACCCAAAUUCUGCAUAAUUAAGUAAUAUUUUUACAAUUUCUCACCCUUUAUUGUUUAUAAUAAAAAUAAUAUGAAUUCUUUAAUAAAUAUUUAAUUAAUAACA